rnacentral:snRNA from 1 species
GUGCUCACUUAGGCAGCACAUACACUAAAAUUAGAAUAAUAGACAGAUUAGCAUGGUCCCUAUGCAACAAUGACAGGCUAAGCAUAAAUGUUUAAAGAUGGUCA